ACGAACGCUGGCGGCGUGCUUAACACAUGCACGUCGAACGGAAAGGCCCUGCUUUUGUGGGGUGCUCGAGUGGCGAACAGGUGAGUAACACGUGAGUAACCUGCCCUUGACUUUGGGAUAACUUCAGGAAACUGGGGCUAAUACCGGAUAGGAGCUCCUGCUGCAUGGUGGGGGUUGGAAAGUUUCGGCGGUUGGGGAUGGACUCGCGGCUUAUCAGCUUGUUGGUGGGGUAGUGGCUUACCAAGGCUUUGACGGGUAGCCGGCCUGAGAGGGUGACCGGCCACAUUGGGACUGAGAUACGGCCCAGACUCCUACGGGAGGCAGCAGUGGGGAAUAUUGCACAAUGGGCGGAAGCCUGAUGCAGCAACGCCGCGUGCGGGAUGACGGCCUUCGGGUUGUAAACCGCUUUCGCCUGUGACGAAGCGUGAGUGACGGUAAUGGGUAAAGAAGCACCGGCUAACUACGUG
rnacentral:rRNA from 1 species